GAGAAAAAAGAAGUAGAAAUUUCACAGAGCGCACACGAAAUGAGCGAUUUAAUGUGAUUGUUUCGGUCGAAGGGGACGUUUCCCGGGGCCUUAUGGGAAAAUAAUGUCCUUAUGAAUUAAAUAAUAGGGUUAUUACUUUCAUUGAUUUUAGCUGUCUGGGAAUUUAGCGCUGAGCUGCCGUUUAAAGCCAACCUCUCUCUCCCUCCCUCGCUCUCUCUCUCCAGUCCUCAGUCUAAUUAUUUUCCUAUAAGCCCUCCUGCUUCCUACAGCGCAAAUAGCAGAGUCACUGAGCGAAAAUUAUGUAAAUAUUAUUAAAGGGACUCAGGCAGGGAAAUUCAUUUUAGGUCCACGCAGCAGCAGCAGCAGCAGCAGCAACAACAGCAGCAGCAGCAGAGUAAAGCUCGGUCCCUCGGAUCCGCCUCAAUUUAUUUGCAAAUAAAGGCGCGGUGACCGGGAGGGAUCAGGGAUAUUUAGCCGGGCUGUCAACACGGGGGCUCCCGAGCACCGGCUCCACAGAAUUAAUGGUUUUAAUAAUUGGGAUUUCACUUUCCAGGGAAUCGGUGGCGUUUACACUUCAAAAACACGCGCUCUUUUUACUGCCGUGGACCUGAAAAGUGAACAUAAACACACCUGUUUAGGAAACCGGGGCUCGGGCUCCGCUGAGCAGUCCUUAUAUGGGCUGAAUACGGAGGCCGGAAGUUGUCAAAAAAAGGUCAAAGGCCGUUCUAGGGAAACGAUGGUUUGAAUACAGGGGCGGCUCUAACUAUUUCAGUUCCCCAGACUGAGAGUUGGUGCCAUCUUUAAUUAAAUGACACGAAAACUGACGACAUAAUUAAAUAGUUAUUAAUUAACAACUAAUCCAACAACUACAAAAUUAAAUUGGUUUUUACCAAAACGUGUUAUUUGUGCUUCAUGUAUUUAUUUAUAUUUGAUUUUCUUUUGUUUAUUGUUCGUAAAUUAAACAAAGAUGUGCAGUGACCAGCAGGCCCAAAAAAAUUGCCCUACCAAAUGGUGGCGCUGUGGCCCUGGACCUUAACUCUGCUCAAUGAAACAUUCCUUUGGUCACUGAGGAUAGAAAACAGGAAAAGAAAAAAGAAAUCAAAUCAAAUCAAAGGAGCUGCUUCUACAGAGGUGGUCGGGACUAAAGCCUGAAGGUGGAGGCGGCCAAGGCCUCGGCACGCCUCCGGGGAUUGAUCACACGUUCUGAUUAAAAAAUAGACCAGA